rnacentral:lncRNA from 1 species
CUCUAAGAAAAAAAAAAUCUUUCUAAUGUUUUAGGUAAUAUCUGGAAUGAAGAGCAUUCCUUAUGGGCACAUGCUUAGCUAUGCGGCGAGCUGGUUACCAGGAAGAUACGCAUGCAAAUCUUCUCAGAUGCAUCCAACAGAAACUGGCACCAGUGAACUUACCAGAGGGAUGAUUCAUUGAAAGGACAGGACAGCUCACAGAACUGACAGAAAGAGGAAGAGAGAUCUGUCUCCCUACUUUAAGAACACAGAGUCCACAGAGUCAGAAAGAUUUACUCUUUCUUCCCGUCUUUUAACAUGUGGCUGCUUGUUUUUAAAAAUGUAGUGAAGGGGUGCCUGGGUGGCUCAGUGGGUUAAAGCCUCUGCCUUCAGCUCAGAUCAUGAUCCCAGUGUCCUGGCAUCGAGCCCCACAUCAGGCUCUAUGCUCGGUGGGGAGCCUGCUUCCUCCUCUCUCUCUCUCUGCCUGCUUCUCCGCCUACUUGUCAUCUCUGUCAAAUAAAU